GACGAACGCUGGCGGCGUGCUUAACACAUGCAAGUCGAACGGACAGGCCCUGCUUUUGUGGGGUGCUCGAGUGGCGAACGGGUGAGUAACACGUGAGUAACCUGCCCUUGACUUUGGGAUAACUUCAGGAAACUGGGGCUAAUACCGGAUAGGAGCUCCUGCUGCAUGGUGGGGGUUGGAAAGUUUCGGCGGUCGGGGAUGGACUCGCGGCUUAUCAGCUUGUUGGUGGGGUAGUGGCUUACCAAGGCUUUGACGGGUAGCCGGCCUGAGAGGGUGACCGGCCACAUUGGGACUGAGAUACGGCCCAGACUCCUACGGGAGGCAGCAGUGGGGAAUAUUGCACAAUGGGCGGAAGCCUGAUGCAGCAACGCCGCGUGCGGGAUGACGGCCUUCGGGUUGUAAACCGCUUUCGCCUGUGACGAAGCGUGAGUGACGGUAAUGGGUAAAGAAGCACCGGCUAACUACGUG
rnacentral:rRNA from 1 species